rnacentral:rRNA from 1 species
UAGAUACCCUAUUAUAAAAAUUUAAAUUAAUUUACUAAAAAAUUAAUAGUUAUGUUCUUUAAAUUUAAAAAAUUUGGCGGUAUUUUAGUCUUAUUAGAGGAACCUGUUUUUUAAUUGAUAAUCCACGAUUAAUUUUACUUAUUUUAAAUAAUUCAUAUAUCGCUGUCAUGAAUAUAUUAAAAAAUUUAUUUUCUUUAUUUAUUUUUAUAGUUUAUGUUAAGUCAAGAUGUGGUUUAUAAAUAAGUUUAUAAUGGGUUACAUUAAAUUUUAUUUAUGGAUUUAAAAUGAAAAUUAAAAUGAAAUUGGAUUUAAUAGUAAAUUUAUUUA